GCUUGUCUCAAAGAUUAAGCCAUGCAUGUCUAAGUAUAAACCUUUAUACGGUGAAACUGCGAAUGGCUCAUUAUAUCAGUUAUAAUUUAUUUGAUGAUACCUUACUACAUGGAUAACCGUGGUAAUUCUAGAGCUAAUACAUGCAUCAAGACCCGCAAGGGUUGUAUUUAUUAGGUAAAAGCCAAUGCUGCUUGCAGCACCUGGUGAUUCAUAAUAACUUCUCGGAUCGUAUGACUUUUUGUCGACGACGCAUCAUUCAAAUUUCUGCCCUAUCAACUAGAUGGUAGGAUAGGGGCCUACCAUGGUUUCUACGGGUAACGGGGAAUUAGGGUUCGAUUCCGGAGAGGGAGCCUGAGAAACGGCUACCAUUUCCAAGGAAGGCAGCAGG
rnacentral:rRNA from 1 species